GACGAACGCUGGCGGCGUGCUUAACACAUGCAAGUCGAACGGAAAGGCCUGCUUUCCCUUGUGGAUUGCGGGUACUCGAGUGGCGAACGGGUGAGUAACACGUGAGUGAUCUGCCCCCAACUUGGGUAUAAGCCUGGGAAACUGGGUCUAAUUCCCGAUAGGACUGCAGGGUGGUGCCUGUGGUGGAAAACGAUUUUCUAGUGGUUGGGGAUGAGCUCGCGGCCUAUCAGCUUGUUGGUGGGGUAAUGGCCUACCAAGGCGGCGACGGGUAGCCGGCCUGGGAGGGUGGACGGCCACAUUGGGACUGAGAUACGGCCCAGACUCCUACGGGAGGCAGCAGUGGGGAAUAUUGCACAAUGGGCGGAAGCCUGAUGCAGCGACGCCGCGGGGGGGAUGACGGCCUUCGGGUUGUAAACUCCUUUCGACCGCGAGGAAGCCACCUGGUUGGAAGGGUGGUGACGGUAGUGGGAGAAGAAGCACCGGCUAACUACGUG
rnacentral:rRNA from 1 species